rnacentral:lncRNA from 1 species
GGUUAAAUAGGUCUUUUUCCAUGAUUUUAUUCCACCCAGAUAUGGGAUUUAAGCCCUAAAAACAUUCUUAGCUACUUAUUAUUCAUUUUUUCCCCAAUAUCAAGAGCAUUCUCUCUCAAGAAAAUAAAACCCUAGACCUUAAGAAUCAAGGUCAAUCUCAACAAAUCCAUCCAAGAACUCUAAGAACCUUCAAGGUUUCCUUUCUCAGGUAUGCAUAGUGUUCAGUCAUGGAUUACUUUCGUCCAUAAAGCCCAAGAAUCAAGUUUUAAACUAUGAAUUAUGAUAUUCAUACUAUGUCUUGAUUAUGUUCAUGUGGUUUUUGUUGUUGUAUGAUUCCCAAGUUGGAAUCCUUAUGUGUUUUUAUGAAAAUAUGUUAGCAUGUGAGUUGAAAAUCAUGAAUUUUAGUUGGUUAUAAUAUGUUAAUUUGACGAUUAUGCCAUGCCCUAAGUCAUACACCCUAAGUUUUUGAUAAAAUGCCUAAGAAACUAGAAAUUAUGUAAUAUGACUCAAUUGUGACUUAAGUGAAGGAUUAAUGUUUUACCCUUCCGUUCAAAUGACUUUCAUGCUAUUGAUGUGCAAUGCUCAUGAUGUUAGAGUAUGAAAUUAUGACAUUGAGUAUAUGCAUUCCUACCAUGUACAAGAUUAUGAUAACCAUGUACUUCAUGAAAUAUCCAACUUAUUGUAUUAUGGAUUGUUGAUGUUGGUCGUGUAUUCAAGAAUGUCAUACCUUGUCAGUUUUCUUCUAUCGAGUCCUGGGGAUACUUGUACUCGAUAAUUUAGCUAUGUGCCUAGAGCCAGUGUCAUGUUUUCACGAUAUCCUCAGUCAAGCCAUGUUCAGUAGAAUUUAGUCAGUCAUAUGACUCAAGAAAACUCAGUAAACUCAGUAAUCCCAGUAAUCUCAGAAAGCUCAGAAUUUUAGUAAUCUCAGUAGUAGUUUGUCAGUCAACAAAACUCAAUGAACUCAGUCCAGUUCAAUUUAGUUAAUCAUGUUCAGUGUCUAUUCAGAUGGGAGUAGGAUUUAGUACCGAAUGAACCCAAAGAUAAGGACACACACUGACACUUGAGGGUGUGAUCCUUAGAAACAAUCCUUGCAUUGCAGAACUAUGUAGUCAGCAUAGGUUGAGACAUCAACACUGAUAGAUAAGGGUUAAUGAAGUGGAUAAACACUAUCAUAUGAGGGUCCCACCAUUCUCUUUUGGGGACACUGUCAGAUGAGGAUUACCCACAACUUGUUUUUACCAGUGGCGCGGUAUUAAUACCCUUUCAAUUGGGGUUACAGAUUAGACCCCAACCUAGCUAUAUUGCUUUAUUUGAGGCAUGUCGAUUAUAUGACUACUUUCCACAGUUACAGUUUUAGACACAGUCUCAGUAAUAGAACUUAAAUAGUUCUUCAGAAUUUCAGGAUUGUCAAAUAUAAUCAACUCAGAACAGUAUGGAACUCGAUUAGUUUUAUCAGAAACUAGACUAUCAGAUAUAGUUGCUCAGUAUCAGUUAUAUCAGUUAUUAGUGACUCAUGUUAUCAAUAAUCAGACUCAGUAGUCAGUACCAUCAUAAAUUCAGUCACAGUCACUUAUUCAUGCAUGUAUUCUCAUGUUCAUGUAAUAUAGUCAGUUAGCAUUGUUCAUGCAUUUGAACCUUUUGUAUUUAGCCUACCUCACUUGCAUACUAGUAUAUUCAAUCGUACUGAUGUAUUUGAGCUAUGGUGUUUUAUACUAUAGUUUCAAAAGCACGAGCUCCAGAUCAUCUUUAGUAGAUUAGACGUUCAGCAGCCAGACUAGCUGUGAGUCCUCAUCAUUCGAGGAUAGCAUGAUUAUUUUAUUACUUUAUUAUUUCAGUAGUCCAGAGUUAGUUGGGGACAUGUCCCAUCAACUUCUCAUUCAAAUAGUUUAGAGGCUUUCAUACUACAGUGUUUUCAGACUAGAUGUUUUCAGACAUUGUUUUAGUUUUUGUAUUGUCGUACCACAUUAUUCAGAUAUGGUUUUAUCAGAUGUUUAUUAGUUUUGAACCUUAUGGAAUGUUUUAGCCUACUAUUUUCGUAUUUAUACAGUAUAUUAUGCAUUGUUCAGGUACAUAUAUCAGUCAUGGAUUAGUUUGUGGUCCUUCAGGGUCAUAAGCACUGUGCAGUAUUUUGGGUACCAGAUUUGGAGCAUUACAAACUUGGUAUCAGAGCCAGGUUCAAUAGAGUCCUAGGAAGUUUGAAAGCCGUAUCUAGUAGAGUCUUAUAAAUGGGUGUGUUGUACGCUAUAUUUAUGUGCAGGAGGCUAUGAGAUGUUUUAGGAACAGUUUUCCUUCUUUCAGUAUUCAUAUCAUACUAGUGAACGUGAGCUCAAAUUUAAAUCUUAGUCUAAUCCGUUUUCCCCUUUCUUCUAUAGAACAUGCCUCCUAAAAAAAUAAACGAAAAUCAGUCAGUCCCUCAGCCCAUCCAAGCAGAUCCAUUGGACGAACACGUUUCUCAUGUAGAGUUUAGAGCUGCAUUCACCACUCUUGUUAAUUCAGUUGCCACUUAAAAUAAACAACCAACUGUUGUUCUAGCCAAUUCAGUGGCCAAUUCAGCUGCAGCCAGGAUUCGGGACUUCACUCGAAUGAAUCGUUCAUCCCUUUUUGGGUCUAAGUCAGAAGAAGAUUCUCAGAAGUUCCUAGACCAGGUUCAGAAAGUUACAAACAUCAUGGGGGUUACUUCUAAUGAGAGUACUAAGCUAUCUGCAUAUCAGUUGCAGGAUGUUGCUCACACUUGGUUCAAAUAGUAGAAGUCAGAGUGGUCAGUUGAUGCAGGGCCUAUUGAGUGGAAGGAGUUUGUUACUGCAUUAUUAGAUAGAUUCUUUCCCCAAGAGCUGAGGGAAGCUAAGGUGUUAGAAUUUAUCAACCUCAGGCAGGGAAACAUGAUGGUGAAAGAGUAUUCUCUUAAUUUUACUCAAUUAGCCAGAUAUGUUCCUCAUGUGGUUGCAGAUAGUAGGGCCAAGAUGAGUAAGUUUGUUUCUGGGGUAAAUGAUAGUGUAGUCAAUGAGUGCAGGUCCGCCAUGUUGAUUAGUGAGAUGGACAUAGCUAGGCUUAUGAUUCAUACUCAACAUGCCCCAAUCUGAGCUAAUCGGGGUCCAACCUAUAACCCAGUUGGAAGGGUAUCUAUAACCUAUAUCGUGCCAUGGGUACUAACGUUGGCUAUGUGGAUCCACUAAACUAGUAUCCCAAAGCACUAAGGAGCCACCCUCAACUGGCAGGUUCUCUAAUGAGAUAUGUAUCACCCUCAACUGGCAGGUAAAAACUUUGUUAACCCUCAACUGGCAGGUAGACAACUCUAACCUUCGCUGGCUAUGUAGUUCUGGAACUCAGGGAUUGCUAUUAAGGGUUACACCCCCUACUGUCAGGUGAUCCCUCAUCCCUGAGUUAGCUCAGUGCUAAAUCCUACUCCCAACUGAACUGAUACUGAUACUGGAACAGAUUGAACUAGACUAAACAUUAUUACAUAAUUGAUAGUGUUCAUCAUGAUUAUAAACAUGUAAGUAUACUGAGAAGGGUCCUGGAUUAACUUUCUAAGUAAUUGAAAAGUUGAAUUCAUGUAAAUCACAUAGGUAUUGGGUGUUCAUAACCCACCAGCACUGAAUAAAAUUAAAAAUAAGGCCAUAUAAAAGCUUUAAAACCAUAGUAGGGGAUCAUUGUUCAAAAUCCAUCAUUUAGGUAUUUCAUCCAACACAUGAAAGUCAUGAACUUAAGCAUGGAAAUGGGUAAAUCAUGUGAGAAUAACAUGAUUACAUGACUAAAAUCAUAACUUAGGGAUUUAACAUGAAGAUUACAACAUUUAAAAUAUGUAAUGGCUCAUCCCACUUGAAAACACUUAUAAACAUCACUUGUAAAUUAAUUCACAAGAGAUUCAUGGAGAUAUUUUAACUUAAACAUUAAAAAUUCAUAAUUUAAAACCAAAAAGGGAUUCUUGGACUCUAUGGGUAAAAAGAACCCAUGGAUGAACAUCACAUAUACCUCACUAGAUUAUUUUGUGAAGAUUCUUGGGAAUUUCUUGAGGUUUGUAGCUUGAAUUCCUUGAUUCCUUGAGAAUGGGCUAGGGUUUGUUUUUGAAGUGGAAGAUGGUUUUCUUGAGAGGUUUUAUGAAUAAAGGGGCAAAUAAUGCUCCUUGGGGACCUAAAUUUCAUGUUAUGGAAGAGUUUGGGUAAGGGGAAUUGACCCAAAUGCCUUUAAAUGACAAGGAACAAAAUCUUGACAAAAAGGGAAGGGGGCACCACGGGCAAUAGACCGGCGGGCUAAGCCUGUGCCGCUGGCUCCAUAAUGGCGGGCUAAACCCAGCGCCACGGGCUCCAGUCCGAUGGGUUAAGCCCCGCAUUGCGGCCUAUCCCGGUGCCCCCAUUGUUUUGCUUCUCCAAAUAUUCCCCUAAGCUUCUCUAAAAAUUCUAAAACUCACCCGAGACACAACUUGAACAACCCUGAUCAUGAACAACUUUAAAAUCGAUGUUCUGAGGUCGAAAAGGUCAAAAAUAAAAUCAUCAAAGUUUAGGGGCCUUGAAAAUGCCUAAGUAUUGGGUUUUGAAUAGUGUUUCCUUACUAUGGCUUUAAAGAUUUUAUAUGGCAUUAUUGUUAAUUCCAUUCAGUGUUGGUGGGUUAUGAACACCCGAUACCUAUUGAUUUACAUGAAUUCAACUUUUCAUCUACUCAGACAAUUAAUCCAUGACUCUUAUCAGUAUACCUACAGGUUUAUAAUUAUGAUGAACAUUAUCAGUUAUGUAAUAAUGUUUAAGUCUAGUUUAGUCUAUUCUAGUAUUAGUUUCAGUUCAGUUGGGAGUAGGAUUUAGGAUCGAGCAAACUCAGGGAUAAGGGCUCACCUGAUAGUAGUGUGUGUGACCCUUAGUAGCAAUCCCUGAGUUCCAGAACUACGUAGCCAGCAUAGGUUAGAAAUGUUUACCUGCCAGUUGAGGGUUCACAAAGUGUUUACUUGCUAGUUGAAGGUGACACAUAUCUCAUUAGAGCACCUGCCAGUCGAGGGUGACUCCUUAGUCCUUCGGGAUACUCGACUAUUAGAUCCACACAACCAAUGUUAGUAUCCAUGGCAUGGUACUGACACCCUUCCAUCUGGGGUUACUGGUUGGACCCCGAUUAGAUCAGAUUAGGGCAUGUAGGUUAGAUGAUACCUCCCACAGUCUUAGUACAAUAUUCGGUAUAGUUUCAGUUCAGAUUUGCCUGACCAGAGCAUACAGAUUCUCAGUUAUUUAGUUAUCAGAUUUUAGUCUUUCUAUUUACAGAUUAUUUUAGAUACUCCCACCGUCCUAUUUUAUGUAUCGCCAUUUGACCAUACACGGAGUUUAAGAAAUAAGGGAAGACUUUAUAAUAUUUAUCAAAUUGUCCUUUAUCAAAAAAUAUGCUACUAUUUUUUGUAAUUAAGUGAGCCCAAUAAGGGUAAAAGUGUAAUUGUGUUUUUAAAUAUUUACCAAUUAAGGAAAUGUGACAUUCUUUUUGGGACGGACUAAAAAGGAAAUGAUGACACAUAAAAUGAGACAGAGGGAGUAAAAGUUUAUGCUUGGUCUUGCAUUCUCAGAUUUUACAGUUUUCAUGCAUUCAUGUUCAGUUAUCUCACGCUUUUUAGUUAGUCCUUAUUUCAUAUGUACAGUACCCCAUGUAUAUCAUCUCAUAUACCAGUAUAUUCAAAGUACUGACUGAAUACUCUUAUUUAUGCUAUGAUGUCUUAUAUCAUAGGUUUGGAUGCACAUUUUCCCGAUCGUAGUUAGACAGCUCAACGUUAUCUAGUAGUCAUAGUGGCAAGUCCUCAUCCAUCGGUGACAUGAUCUGUUUAUUCUGUUAUUUUAGUAUUUCAUUUUAUUCAGUCAUUCGGAGUUAGUUAGGGGUCUGUCCCAUCAAAUCCUCAGUCAGUUUAGAGGCUUUCAGACGUUCAAACAGUCAGUUAGUUAUUUUCAGUUUUUAUCAGAUGUUUCAGACUUAUGAUUGAUUCGGUAUUUCAUGUUCAAAUUUAUAUUUUUCUUUCUAGUUUAUCUUCCGCACAAGUGUUAUGUUCAUAUUUGUUUAGCGCUCAUAGCAGGUAUCAGUUUAUAGGUUAGCUUGUGACCCUCGGGGUUGUAAGCACUCUUGUCGCGACUAGGGGGUAGCCUCGGGUUGUGAUAAUUUUUAAGCCCAUAAAUAGAUUUCUUUGACAAACAAACUUGAUUUAAAAAGGGUAGUGUAACACCAGGUGGAAAUUUCAUAUAAACUUCUUCAUGAAGAUCACCAUGAAGAAAAGCAUUAUUAAAGUCUAAUUGAAAACUCCCCAAUUAUCCUUCAAUGCAAUGGCUAAAAUACAUCUGAUAGUAGUAAUCUUGACUACCGGAGAGAAAGUUUCUUUAUAAUCAAUACAUUAUGUCUACACAUCAUCUCUAAUGAUGUCACGAUCUAAUUUCUUAAGUCAUGAUGGCACCUAUUAUAAAUCACCGAUAGGCAAGCCAAACCCGUAGUUCGGAAUAGCUAGUAACGAACCACCAAAUAUAAUAAGGAAAGAAUGCAUAAUAAAUAUAACAAAAGUUCAAAUACAUAAAUAAAUCCCAAAGCCUGGUGGUAUCAAUACAAGGGCUUCUAAUAUAAUAAGAGUACAAAAGUAGAAUAGAUGAAAUAAAUUAAACUAAUAUAACUUAUCUUCGAAAACCAUGGCAGCACCGCACGAUGCACGUAUCAACGACGAUAACCUAUACUAUGAUCUGCAGGCUACAGAAGUGUAAUAUGAGUAUCAAACGAAUGGUACUCAGUAGGCAACUGCCAACUAAUCUCCAAAGAUAAAGAAGAUAUACACAACAUAUAAACAGAACGGAAACUACACCCAAGAGUCCAAAAAUCAUAUAACAAUCCAAUGAGAUAAUAAGGAACAACUAUCCUUUUCAUAUCUAAUAGACUAACAUAAUAAGGCUAAGUAAGUAAUAAGGGUGCACUAUCUUAUUCCAUCCAUAGGAGUCUCAACACUAUACCAUAUAUCUCUGGCCAAUAUAUGAAUAAAGAGCGGAAGAAGAAUAUAUAAUAAUAUACAAGGGCAAGGAACGAAUAUACAAUAUGAAACAAAUGAAGAAAGGGAUAUAUAUAUAUAUAUACAAGGUCAUCUCAAGGCACAACCUAGAUCAUCAUAUCUUCAUUUUAAGCCCUCAUUAUAAUCCUAUCAGGAUUUAAUACUAUCAUGCUCAAGGUUUCUAAUCCACAUGGCUAGACAAGUAAUAAUCAUGCAUAAUAAUGAAAUUGUAUGAUUGAAGAGUCCAAAAACAUACCUCAAAUCUCGAUACCCAAUUAAUAACCAAUUUGUCAUAAACUAUCCAUAACAAUAAUAAUAACAAUAUCAAUACCAGCGCGAGUAAUCGGCUAUUCCAAAAACCCAAAUACCUAAUCGAGCUUAAGUACUUCCCCCACAGCCCCAUGCUCGAAAGGCUCAAUCAAUACACAAUAACACAAGACAUAGUCAUCACGCAUAUCUAUGCAAAUAUCCCAUACUGGAUAAUAGACAUAGGCGCAUACUAGUAAUAGGUGAUGCACAUGAAAGAAUGAAUACAAGGUACACAAUCAAUGUCACCACCAUCCUUCGAAAUCGAACCGAGUAUAUAUAUCAUCAUCACAACAUCCUCUGGUUUUGUCGGGUAUACAUAGCGACAUCACAGUAUCCUUCGACCUUGUCGGGUAUCAAUAUCAUUAUAACAGUAUCCUCUGACCUUGUCGGGUAUCAAUUUCAUCAUAACAACAUCUUCCGGCCUUGUCGGGUAUCAAUAUCAUCAUAACCAUCAAUACAUGUGUAUAGAUAUAUAUAAUAGGUCCACAACUCAAGUCGUGGCUAAAAGUGUGUAAAUCCAUAAAUCUAUUGCCUGGAAUGAUCUUCAGGACUAAAUUAUUGUAAAAAUGUAGAAAGGGUCCGAAUAUCUCACGAUCGGAGUAAAUAAUAGUGUCAAGUUAUGGAAUAAAAUCUGUCUCGAUCAAAUCUUUAAACAGUAUUUUUAACCUCUUCUAUACGUAUAAAUAUUUCAUUUGAUAGGCAAUUAUUAUAGUAAAGAAAUUCAUUGUUACGGUGAAAAGUGGGUUUUAACCCUUAUUUAGGAACAAUAGUGUUAAGGUUGUAUUUUAGCUAGGAUUACAUCAAUGUCGAUAUAAUAUUCAUGAAUGUACCAAAUCUACACAGGCCAUUACCAGUAUUCAUUAGCAGAGGCGGACCCACGUGGUGCCUCGAAGGUGCACGUGCACCCGGUAACUUUUUUAAAAAAUUGUAUAUAUACGUAUAUAUAUCCUACUAAAGUGCUAAUAUAUUUAAUUGUGCACCCUCAGUAAUAAAACUUGUGUGGGUGCACUGGUUUGGAACUCAAACGCUGACGCCCUUCUAGCCCAACGUCGCAUGUUCGAUUCCUAAUGGAGUCUCUCAAUUUUUACAUUUUACUUCUACUUUAUAUACAUUUAAAUGUCACCAGCUAGGCAGGAGCAAUUUUUCAUUUGAUGCUAAUAGGUACACAUUUCUUCCUUUCAUUUUUUUUUAUUUUUUAUUCAAGUUUGGGUAAUGUUAAUUGCUUUUAAUAUUUACUUGUUGCUUGAAAGUUAGUGCAUAAAAUUUAUUUAUUUCUUUUUUCUUGCUUCUAUUUAAGUUCAUGGGAUUUGAUUAAAAAUAAAUAAAGAAUUAGUUUUACUUAUAUUCUUGAUGAAUUUUUUAUUUUGUAGGAAUUUGUUAUUGAUUCUUGUGAAUUGAAAUGGAUAGAUAUUAUUCUCCUCAACCAAGUUCUAGUUUUAAAGACAAUUCUCAUCGCCUUAGCAAAAGCAAAAAAAGGGCAAAACAAGCUCCAAGGUCCAUUAUAUUCAAGCACAAAUUACAAAUAAAGCGUGAGAUUAAACAAAAAAAGGCAUAAAGGAGAAAAAAUAUAAACAUAUGUCUAGUUCAAAACUAAUACUAUAAGCAUGAAUGACAAAUAUAUGAACACAAUUUUUUUUUUAUAUUAAGUGAAAUAUCAAUUGUUUAGUGUUUGUAUCUCCAGAAAAGCCUCAUUGACAAGGGAAAGUAUAUCUUAUAAAUUAGAGCCUAAACUGCAUAGUAAACGAGGCGAGCGAUCAACAUAAAUUUGAGUCUUUUUGACAGUACUGGUGCACCCCCAGAUUUCAAAUUCUGGGUUCGCCUCUGUUCAUUAGAUGAAAUCAUAAGCAACAUAAACAUAUAUGUAUCCAUAUUCUCCAACCAUAUCCUUUACAAGUAUAAAUACUUCUCGGAUAUCCAACUACUAUCAUAACAUGGUCCUCGGCACAAUAAUAUGUUUGAAAUAAUCACAACAUCGUACUCACGGCCUUAGGCACAAUAAUAAAACACAAGCCCUAUAAGGUCUAAAGUAAAGUGUGAGCCCCAUGAGGGCUAAAGUAAAUGACAAGACCUGCGAGGGAUAAAGUAAAUGAUAAGUCCCACAAGGGCUAAAGCAAAAGAAAAGUAAGGAAGAGCAUAAUUUCACAACCUAUCAUUUGUCGUCAAGGACAAUUUAUCCAUAGAUAUAUUAAUCCAUAUAACAUGAAUAUUACAAUGCAUUAUCGGAUUCAACAUGGUUAGUAGCAUAGCUUCUCAUGGAGUUAACAAAUAUGCCUUCUAGAGCCCAUAGUAUCAUAACUCACAAUAUUAGCAACAAGAGGACUUUCAAGCCUAAUCACUAGUUUGGUUACUAGGCAAAGUCUAACAUUAGUAAUAUCAUAGUCCAAAUCCCAAAAUAGUAGUCUAGUGAAUAAUUUAAAUGAUAACAUAGUCACGGGCUUAAUUAAUCGCAUAAUCUAUAGUUACACAAGCAUUAACGAUAAAGUAGUCAUUAACCAUAUACAUCACCUCAGAUACUAUCUUCAUAACUCAUUUACCAUGGUUAGCCAACAUGCUCCCUAGGCCAUUCUCUAAGCAUUUAACAAGCGUCUAAGGUCUUCAAUGGAACUAUAUAAAUCCAAGCUAAAGGUGGGUCAAAAUUCCACUUCUAAUCCUCAAUUUCCAUAAUUAGGCAAACUAUGCCCCAAACAAGGCUAAGGUAUCUAGUUCAACUUCUAGAUGUCAAGUAAGAUAUAACCAAUCUUAAGAUAUGAACUUUUCCUAGAAACAUGGGCAUUUAAGCAAACACUACCCAAAUUAUGAUUUCAAGAUCACUAGAAUAGCCCAACUAAGGUUAAGCAUACUAACCAUGAUUCCAACAGAUAAACCACAUCCCAAACCUAGCAUACUAUUAUAUCCAUGCCACAAAUUAGCUUAACCUAGGAAAAAGGCAAGAGGGUUCUAAAAGGGUCAUAAAUAUUUCACCUUACAGGUCCAAAACCCUUAUCUAAUUAAAUAAACAUAAAUAAUCAAUAAUAAGUUAUUUUUAUUUUAUUCAUAAUAAAUCCUAAAGUUCAUAUUCACAUGCCAUACAUAACACACAUCAUCUUCGAAGAAGAGUAGGUAGAAGCCUACCUCAAAGACAAACCGUAAAACCUUACAUCAUUCACCACAUGCCCGUCUUCACUUCACAAUCCUCAAAAUGCCAUCCAGCUAUCAAAAACAUAAUCUACUCAUCAAUACGAGUCUAACGAUACCCAUAUUGCACUAUUGCGCUCUGGGUCUAAAAACGACAUCCAAAAUCCCAAGUUGGUCCCACUAAUGGAAAACACAUUUAUGAGGCCAACCCAACACUCACACAUCAUGAAGGAAUCAUAACCCUUACAAAAUGGGUGAAAACAAAGCUAAUUUUAGGCUAAAAUAAAGGUCUGAGUGGGUUUGGGGUUUUGGGAUAAGAACUAAGAAAUUCAUCCGUAAAGUGAUGAAAUCUUACCUUAAUUCAUAUGAUAAUUGCGAUAAUAGAUGAUAAUCAAGCUCCUAAGUUACCCACACAACUCAAUUUUGAGUUAUCAUAUCCAUUUAGGGUUUGUCUCUCAAAGAUUAAGGGAAAAUGCCAAAAUUGCGACCUUGAGGUCUAUUUAUAGACCCCCCCGAUGAAGAGAUGUGGUAUCCCCUAAUAGCAAAGUCAACUUAUUUUUGACCCUCAGAACUCAUUUGGAACCCAAAUAAUAUGACCCAAUACUGAAAUUUGAGGGUAAACCAUAUUUAAAAUCUAUUGGAAUCGUCAAAACUUUCAUCCGAGAUCGUAUAGGAAAAAAGUGGGGCCCACACCUAUAGUUUUAUUUUUCAUAAAAUUUGCUCAAUAACUCAAAAUAAGUCUGGGAGCCUUGGGACUGGAACCAAGGGUCUCCCUAGACUAAAAUCGAUGAUACGAAUGCGAUUGAGAAAUCAGAUUUUCUAUUCUAGGUUAUUUCAAUCAAAUGUAGGUCCCACACCUGUAUUUUUGACUUUUCCAUUUAUGAUAAUAGGUUGAACUGAGCUUGGGUGUAUUGGGACCCAAACUAAAGGUCUACCUAGCGUAAAAGAGAUGUUUUUGAAUUUGCUGGCACAGUCAAAAUUUACAUCCGAGAUCGUUUCACUGAAGUUUUCACCUGGUGGCUGUUUGGAACCAGCAAAGACUUCAAAAUAGGGAAUUGGUUCUUAAACCCAAAUGAACUGCCCGAUAACCGAACCGUCAAUCCCACUAAGUCAUAAAUGAGUUAUGGCAGCUAUGGAUAAGACCGAAUGAUGAAUAUAAGUAAAAAUAUUCAAAAUGACUGGAGGGAUCAUUACAAUAUCCACUACUAAAAGGACUUUCAUCCUCAAAAGUCAGUGGAUGGAAAGAAUUUCAAAAGCUCGAAUGAAUGAGGUACUGGGCCCGCAUGGUACGAGCAUGACUUUAUAGAUAACCUUAAUAAAGAUGAUUUUUCUAAGGAAUUUUUCCACAAGUAUCCUUUUUUCAACCAACACUCUCACUUCACUUCCAAGCAUUCAAAACUUCACUUCAACCACUAACUGGCCUCCAACUUAACCAAAUAGUCUGAUGCACACAAACUAAACCACAACAUACUGAUACCAUCUCAAUACAAUCAUAAUCCAACCAAGGCUUAUCCAAUCCAAAAACAAUCCUAUGACAUGAGUCAUACCCUCCACUCCAAAUCAAAAUAUAACCUUUCUUUACCAUCUUACACCAGCUAUCCUAUCCAAACCACGAUAAAAAUCACCUGAGUCUCGUCUGCACAAUCUUAUCAUAAAGAACUUAAAGAACGGAAGCUAAUCUACUAAAAUUCCAUAUGGAAACUAUGAGACUAAGCUCAUAAGGCGUUAUCUGGGCACACAAAUAGAGAUAAUCAAGCAAUGCAAUCUAUGCCAAUGCUGUAACCAGUAUGGAUGAAAAUCAAAAUGAAAUCCCGAAGGAUCAAGGCAUAACUACUCAUUAUUCCACUCCAGGAUGUCUCAUCUACUGAGAAUGAAGCCAUACUAAAUCCAACUCGAGUAUAUUACUCCCACUGAAUAUAUCAUCCAAAAUUUCCAAAGAAACCUAAAACUCGAGGUCAAAAAUAAAAGAACUAAUACCGGGUCCAUGGGCUAUCAUCUGAACACUUAUCAAUUAUAAUCCAUCUAAAGUCGAGAAGACACAAUAGGCAACCACAGAGUAGGCUCAACCAGCCUAUAAAUGGAAUCUGAACUGAGACAAGUCCUAAACAAAUGCUUCACCCAAGCUCUACAACACCAAGUUAAAAUCUCAAUACUGAGGCUGAAUCACUCAAUUUCAACUACCCAAACCAAACCUGAAGACGGGUAGGCAUUCAUACUCUAAAUUUAUUGAAACUUCCAAAGCUCUAUUCCAAUGUGUCACCAAAUAAAGGUAAAACCCGUACUGGAAAAAUGUUGAACGAUUUCUAGCGCUUUUCAAAAUUUCAUUUUUUUGCAAUGCCUUGAGUGGACAAGGUAAGACGGUACGCUUACUAGAUCCAUCUACUAUUACUAAAGUACACUAAACACUCACUGAAUCUCGACAUUAAUUAGAUCAACAAAACCAAACCAUUGCCUGACGUGAACAGACGCUUUCUUAUUAGACUGUUUGAUCUGGCUCCGUAUUUACUCAAGCAAAGACGAAUCAAAACCUUUCUUUUCUUAUGAUGAGAGGGAAGGAUCACUCCUAAAAGCAAGCUUUCUCUUAUAUACGAUACCAUCAGACGCUCAUUCCUUGGGAUCAGAAGGUUUUCUAUCUUCAUAUUACCAAAUUAGAGAACUACCAAGGCCUUUUAGAGAUUCAACGCGUCCCCCUACCUAAGCUAGACGCUUCACCUACCUGACCUCAGAGAGAAUAGAAUGAGUCGCCCUAGCCCUAGUCUUACUAAGAAAGAGUUUCACCCUUAUGUCUGAUGGCCACAGGGGAGUGAUCCCUUGCAAAAUAAAAAGAAACCACUCCUCUGAAAGCUCGAGGCUAGUCUAGCCCCGAUGCCUCCACAAGGAAUUCUAUCCCGAAAACACCAACACACAUGUUCUAUUUGAGGACAAAACCCUUUUAAGUCAACCAAUCAUCAACAUGAACCAACUGUGGAUCAGUUGUUUCAGUCUUCCAGGAACGGUUUACAACUGGAGCCUCAAAUAAAUCUCAAAUAUUUCCAAGACGAGCUUCGCCUGGAAACAUUUGAAAAUCCGUCUCCCUUCGUAACCAUUCUACCAAGGACCCUUCCAGGUAUGGGUUGAGUGGUCUACCACGGCCAAGCCACAAUUCUAAGGGCAUAGACCAUUUAGUGAACAUCGCUAAGAGCCUCCGAAUGCGAGGCGAUUGUCAAUGUGGCAACGAAUAAAUAGUCCGAAAACCGACUGAAAGGAUAGGUCAUCUGGAUCGGCAUCAACAUGGGAGUUUUCCGAGGGAUGAAGAUCAAUGUCUGGUCGAACCAAGCUUCCUUCUCUCUCUCUUGCCCAGGAGCAGGUCAAGUCUAUGUGACCAAGGCAAGCAAGGAAUGCUAACUGAAUAGGGGUACUCAAUUUUUAUUGCGAUAGAGGGAGGUAGAAUUAUUGAAGAAUGAGGAAAAGGCAUGACCAGAAGAGUUGUAUGAAAGAAGUGAAUUUAUCUAGUUGAGGCAUGAUUCAUUGAGACAAUCAAAUUCCCUCCAGAAAGCUGAACUCCGUCAAGCCUGUAGGAGUAGUGAAGAAUGUGAGUGAGUUGUGUGGUUUUUUGUUGACCAUGAAAGAAAUGGGAGUGUUUGGGCGUACAUUGCAGAUCCACCGGUGGAGGUCCCGUACUAGAUUGACUUUCUUCUCUGAUGAUCUUUGUGUGUCACGAAGUUUUCACGUCAAAUGAAUCAGACCGCUGGUUGGUGUCUCCAUGCCCUGACUCAUUAUACUCUAAACUGGUUCAUUCGCAAGUCAAGAUCAACAUCAGUUUAGAUCGGUAAAGUAGAAUGACUGUUGACGCGUGCUAAUCGAGUUUUUUAUACACGAAUUCUACAACUGAGCUUUUAUAUCUAAAGGUGAGUUCAGAGCUCGCAUUCCUCACACAGUUGCCUAAGGGUUAGACUGUGAGGAAGGGUUAUUUUUUUUAACAAUGAUUGUAUGACCUGUACAUAAAUCAUCAAAGUCAUUAGCUGUUUCAGAGCGGUUUCGCUCUCAGUAAACUGACCAACAAACUAAUCAAUCGAUUAAGCUGAAAGCGAUUCAAUCCACAUCUGUGACAACCCUGCUAAAAGCACUCAUUAGCUGUAGUGAGGCUUUUCCGUCUUGAUAGCCUUUCUCCUUUAUUACAUGGGAUUCCUGGUUUAGGUAGACAAAGAAAAGUCAAAAUCGAAGGAGGAAGCCAUGAAUAGAGGCACUCCCAAUCCACUUAUUGCUCGCUUGCUUUCGCUCUUCUCCUUCAAUCGGGCUAUGUGAGGUUACCGAGGAAAGUCAUACGAAGAAUGAUCGUCCUUUCCCUUUCAGGAAUGAGAUGGUUUAUUUCGUUCACAUCGAAAUGAAAUAAGGUUUCGUGAGUGAGGUCACAUAUAUAAAGAAGGAGUCUUUCGAGCAGGACUCAAGUAGUGUGGAACUAUCCAACGCUAUGUCGGCACUUGUCGUGUCCUCUCCACAACUUUAUCGUUUCGAUAGGACAAAAAGUCAUUCUAGAUUUAGUUCCUAAGCGUGACCCCAACAGAAGUUUAGUACAGGAGGUCGGCUAGCUCCGUUGUUCCCCUGGGUGACGAGUGAAACAUCGACCUCUCCACCUGGUUCCCACCAUAGGGAGAGAUAUGAAUCUCGGUGGGUGGAUAAGGAGAGUUGGCCAUCUAAAAGCUCUCUAUCCGCAAGAAUCUAAUAAAUUUGGGGUGAGGGAAACUGAUCAGUUUAAAAUAAGGACGGCUGCGAUCCUAUUUUAAACUCAACUAAAGGAUUAUACCUUUAACCACCCACGGGGAAGUAAAGUGACUGUUCAGGAGGAUUUAAUAAAGGGGGCAAUAAAGAAGGUCAGAGUCACGUUGUUAUCCUCGUUCAAACAAGGUUCUUGCCCUCGGCAGGGAGAAAGGAAAGUGGCUAGGGCCGGCACACUCACUUCAUCUUGCAAGACUAACCGAAUCCCAAUUUUGCGAUUAGAAGCAUAGACACAACCAAUCCGCAACGCGUAUCCCCCGACAAUCGGGGAGUCUGUCCUCUUUUCUUAGAGACCUGAAGGUCGCAUAUAAGGCAGGCACUCGAUGCUAGCUUCAAAUCAAGUAAGAAAGUAUGGAACAGACAACAUCCUGCCAUAAUGAGUUUCCCCAUUUUAGCCUGCGGGGAACACAGUCAAUCAAUCCUUCCCUUUAUAAGAAGAAAGACAGUUUCCUAAUGCAAGGGUAAAGUCGGAGUGACAUCAUAGCGUUUGAGUGCCUUUGCUAGAGUCACACUCGAGAGCCUAACUUCUUUCUAUACGUGACAUCUUUUCAGUGGACUUCUAUACGUGUAGAGCAAAUCCACAUUAUUUCGACCGAUGGAAGAUCUCGCUACCGGGUAAGGGAAGAAGUACCGAGAGGUUCACUCUUUUUGCAUGACUUUCUUUCCUUGACAAUAAUGAAGAAAGUAGUCACAAAGGACUCUAAGCCUUAGAACAAAAAGAUCAAUUCGCGUCCUCUGAUAAGAAUCUCUCAAAUUCUAUUCUUGAAUCUUCCCCGGCCGUAGCCUAGGAUUAAGAGAGACAUCCUCAAUGUCAAACCCCUGGAGGCACUCUACUCUCCAAUAGACGUUUCCUCACCUAGUCCCGGAGACCUAACCUCAAGGCUUACAAAUAAUAAAGAUCGGGGAACGAGAAUCAAUGCGCCAAAGCUAUCGGCACUGACCGCAUCCAUCUUAUCUUCUACGGGGUAGGUAAAGAGGCUUUUGCUACAACCGAUGGUCUUCGCCUUCGGUGACUUCUCCUGGAGGAUGGUCAAGUAAAAUUAGCUGCUCAACACUCACGAGGGAGAUAGCCUACGCUAAUCACGCACCUCCAAAGAGGCAUCGAGACUGACCCAUUGAUAAAGCUUGAAAUAAAGAGACCUCACUCCUGUGUGAGAGAGUGGUCACAGUUCAUCACCUCGGGGGCUUCUCUGAAAGAGAGGGUAAGGAUUAAGGCUAGGUUAGGUCUACUCCACAAGAGCAAUCAAAAAUAAAGGACAAAGAGUCCCCUGUGAAGAUUUAUAGGCCAGGGUAAAGAUAGAUCGAAAUUCGCACUCGGGUGUGAAUUGGUAGCUCACAAUCUAUGAAUUCACAUCGCCAGAAAGCUUAUAAAGGAUAGACAAUUCCUUGGGUGACCGGGGGGCUCUGGAUAAGAGCAAAACCUUUUGCCUCGACGAGGCUAGGCCAGAGUGGAAGCUCUCUGGAUAAAGUGUUGACCGCAAUCAGGGAGUUCCUACGCUUAACCAGAUUAUUAGUCUUGGAAAAAAUCCUCGUCUGCACCUCCCAUAGAUAAUGCGACAUCGGUCAAGGUCGGUGGGAACAAUCAAUUUCCUUGCAUAGUGACUCAUACAUGCUUUAUUUAAUUGUAAAUUUAGAGUCUGGGCUGCCCAGUUGGACUAUGUCAGACAAGUCCUAAGAGCCCAGUGUUCCGGGUUGUGCACAAGAGGGCUGGGGAUCAUUCUCAACAAUCGGCGGCUCUUGGAGAAGGGGCACCCGACUCACUCAUAACCUCAUUAGCAGGAUCAAUUUGUUGACGUUUUGCAGCAAGCUCGCAUGAGGGACCGUCUGACCAUGCUCGUUUCCUGAACAAUGCCCGAUGGCAAACACAAUAAAAGGAUAAGGAUAAGGCAAGACAACAGACCAGAGCAGUAGACCCGGCAUAAAAAAGAAGGUUUUCCAUUAUUUAACUAGUUUAAACUAGGUACGACUAGUGCAGUUGUUCAUCUUUCAUUUUAUUAUUCCAAACCAAGGGAAUUCUGUGGGGACCUCCCUGGAAAUAGCGAUCCCCAAAAGGGGUUGUUCUUUCCUCGGGUAUGUAGUGGGAGAAGGAGACGUCCUUCAUUAUUACCACCAAUCAUAUCUCGAUUGGUCGAUGAGCUAUAUUAAUAACUAAUUGAUCAUAGGGUGGUUGAGCCAUGUGACUGAGAAAAAUAGUAGGAAACCUUGUUUCUUGCCCACAGUUGGGUUAUUGAGGUUCUCUCAAUCUUAGACUGAUUGAACUUCUGACCAAGAAUGUCCAUCGUCAAUCUGAGAGAAGGAAGAAAUUCCUUUGAUCUAUUCGGUGCUGGACUGUUGGCUAAUGAGAUCCCAUAUUUGCCUAAAAGGGCUUGUAUGGAAUUGUCCGAUAAUUCUUUGGUUCUCGAUACUUCUUUGUUGGAGGUAUGAGAUAUCCUUCUUUGGUCAGCCGAUUAGGUUACUAUAGAUCUUGGUUACUCUUUCCGUUGUCCUACUACUAUAUAGUGUGGUUGGACUGCGAGUUUGAAUCCCGCAGACUGACCUUCCCUUUAUGAUCACACCUUGCUUGGUGAUGAUAUCCUAAUCACCAAUAAGCAAGUGGCUCUUUCAGUACAGAAAAGUUACUGGAUAGACUCAGCGUUUGGACUUCUGAUUCAAAGUCACACAUCAGAAUAAGAAUGCUGGGUUUGCCAAAGGGAUGUUGGGGUAAAAUCCCAUCAUAUCACUGAGGCGAAUACUGUCCUGUAGGACAGCCUUUAAUCUGUGCCCUUUAACUGAUGAAUACCUGAUCGUAAUAGGUAUUUAGGAGUUAGUAGGGCUAGGAUUAAAGUCUUGUUCUCAUCUUCUCUCCAACCAUUUGGUAGGAUUGAGGAUGACUGUUAGUAAGCUUAACCGGUCACGUCCACUACCUUCAUAUAUUUGAUUGGAAGGAAAAAAAACCUCAAUCUGUGUUUGAAGGGAAAGAUAGUGGAUUUCUCCGAAGGAUAAAACCCAAGGAGAUACAUCUCUUUCUGUAGAGAUGGUGUUUAAUAGGGAUGGGCAUCAUUGGUCCCACUGUAACCCGUAAUGGGUAAGUAGUUCCAUAUGAUGUUUAGUACUAUACGGUUGUGUGCUCAAUCAAAGGUAUCUAUUAUCAUUUGAUGGAUGUGCCGUAUAUAGCACACUUGAAGGGUCCAACAAAGAUCUUGGUUUGAUCAAGUUUUAACCUUGUUGACUAUGACAACGGUCACGACUAUGAACAGACUCGUGACUAUGGCAGGGCAGUACGCUCUGCUCUCUCGCGCCCCUACUCUAAUCAAAAGACUAAAGGCCCCUACUGAAGAUAGGUCGCCAAACUACGACCGCGAGUUUUGCCUUUUGAAGCGCCAGUCGCGUAGGGCGACCGGGCCAGGUCGAGUCAAAAAGGCUUUGAUGACUCAAGGUUCAUAUUAGGGAAAGGAGAGUGAGGGGAAGAGGGGGAAGCCCUCGGCCUGAUCAUCCAAUUCGUUCCAACAGAUAGGUAUGGUUCUGUAGUCAAAGCAACUUCGUCACUUUCGUGUACCCAUCGGACUAGGACCUUUCGGGGGUUCCUUAGGGACCGAUUCACUUUGCGUAGAUUGACUGAACGCAGAAAACCUUCCACUGGCAGGCGAUCAUGUUUUUCACAGGAUUUUUCGUUACUUAUGUCCGCAUUCUCACUUAUGAUAUCUCCAGGUCUUGUCACCAAAAACCUUCCCCGAUUGACAGAACGUUCCGCUACUGACACUUGAAAAAGCAGCUUUCAAGGUCUCGUCGCUUCGGUGAAUCACUUGAGCCCUAAUAUAUUUUCGGUGCCAUGGAGCUAGACUAAGGAGCUAUUACGCUUUCUUCAAAGGAUGGCUGCUUCCAAGCCCACCUCCUAGUUGUCAUCGCUCGAUCACUUCCUUUUCAACUAAGUGAUUGCUUAGGGACCUUAGCGUAUGAUCUGGGCUAUUUCCCUCUCGACUUUAGACUUCGGUACUCCAAGGCCUGUUCGAGCUCUCUUCAACCUGCUCAUGGCUAGAUCGAUCGAUUUUAUAGGAAGAACUAGAAGAUUCCACCUCUGGAAAGCGCCUACACCUAAUGGCUUAAGCCGCUGUUCCCAUUUCCUCGCUGACCCAUCAUGCAAAAGGUACGCCGUUAGAGUGAGUGCGCUUUACAUAAAGUAAAGGCUCUAAGCUCCGCUCCUUCGACUGAUUGUUCGCAUCGGAUCUCAGGUUCUCUAUUGCACUCCCUAAAUAGGGUUCUUUUCACCUUUCCCUCACGGUACUUGUACGCUAUCAGUCAUUGAGGAAUACUUAGGCUUAGAGGGCGGUCCCCCUUUCUCGUGUAAAAAUGAUUAGAAUUCGAACACGCCGUGUUUUACUGGGAAGGAUCGAACCAUGGGAACGAAUCUACAGGGCUAUCACCUUCUUUGGCUAGAUGUUCCAAUCUUUUCACAAUUACAGUUCACUGCGCCCGCUCCUUUAAAGGGCGGCGGCUUGAAAGCUUACCUUAUUAUUAGAGAAAGGUUUGGAACGAAGUAGCUCACCUAAAGGGAGAGGAACCCUAACCAACGUUUUGGAUUUUGGAGUUUUCGCCCCAACCUAGGUUAGGGGGUCGUUAGACCGUAGCUUGCUGCUGAAAAACGUUGCUAGGCUAGCACGGCUCGCUUCACUCUUCAAGUUCCGCCCCCUUACUCAACCUCAACAUCUAUAAAAAAGCCCUUUCUCC